rnacentral:rRNA from 1 species
GUACGCUGGCGGCGUGUCUUAGCCAUGCAAGUCGAGCGGACUUAUGGGGUAACUUAUAAGUCAGCGGCGGACGGCGGAGUAACACGUAGCUAACCUACCCUCUGGACGGGGAUAACCUACCGAAAGGUGGGCUAAUACCCGAUGUAGUCAUCCUGUAUAGGGGUGAUGAAAGGUGGGCUUCUGUUUACAAGCUCAUGCUGGAGGAGGGGGCUGCGGCCUAUCAGGUAGUUGGUAGGGUAAUAGCCUACCAAGCCGAUGACGGGUAGCCGGCCUGAGAGGGUGACCGGCCCGAGGGGCACUGAGAUACGGGUCCCACUCCUACGGGAGGCAGCAGGCUAGAAAUUUGGGCAAUGGGGGAAACCCUGACCCAGUGACGCCGCGUGCAGGAAGGAGCCCUUCGGGGUGUAAACUGCUGUCGUGUAGGGAGAAGGGUACUAAGGUGAACAAUCUUAGUACUUGACGGUACUACAGGAGGAAGCCCAGGCUAACCUCGUG